rnacentral:rRNA from 1 species
ACGGGUGAGCAACACGUAUGCAAUCCACCUGUAACAGGGGGAUAACCCGGAGAAAUCCGGACUAAUACCCCAUAAUAUGGGCGCUCCGCAUGGAGAGCCCAUUAAAGAGAGCAAUUUUGGUUACAGACGAGCAUGCGCUCCAUUAGCCAGUUGGCGGGGUAACGGCCCACCUAGUCUUCGAUGGAUAGGGGUUCUGAGAGGAAGGUCCCCCACAUUGGAACUGAGACACGGUCCAA